rnacentral:tRNA from 1 species
GCGGAUCGGAAGUGGUCUGACGAGCCUUCUAAGCUUGGAGUUGCAGGUUCGAGUCCUGCCGGGCGCGCCA